AGAGAUGAACAAAUUUGUAAAUUUAUUUAUUAAAAAAUGUUGUGUUUUAAAAAGCAAAUAAUCUAAUUCUUUCUUAUUGCCCGGAUUGAUGGCUUAGAUUUCAUGUUUGAGAAAAAGCUGAGCCCUUUUCAUAAAAAAAAGCACAUUCUAAUUAAAAGGAAAGGAAAAUGGUGGAGCAUUUUCAAGCUACAAUGGAGAUGUUGCCUGCUCAGAGUUAAACCUCCAAAUUAUACUACUAAAUGGCAUUAGUAGUAUAAUUUUAAGACACAGUAUAUUGAAAUCACCAGUUGCCAAUAGUUCUGAGCUUCUCAACAUCAUAUUUAGUUCUUGCCUUCAAAAUAUCCCCUAAUCAACAGCACUGACAGUGUCCAUCAGUGCUGUUCUGAUAAAACAGUGAGUUCAAAUACCUAAAAACUCCCCACAUGCCAAUGAAACAGGUGAAUUUCUACAAUCUCUUCACAAAACAAACACAGCUUAUAUAAACAUCAAGACAGUGAAUUCAAUAUAUAUUGUCUCACCAAAAACUAUUCUUGUAAGAUUCUAACCUAAAAAAAGAAUAGUAUAUAUAUGAGCCCCAUUGUAUGUGAAGCUUUUAUUACAUAAUUUUUCAAAUACUGAAAAACACCAUAAAGUUGAAGUAUUAUAAAAUAUAACAUAGAUAUUAAAUAUUUACAAAGACUUUAAAAUCUAAUACAGAAAUAUUGAUGUUCUAAUAUUGAAUUUAAAGUUAUACAAAAAGGUCUAAGAACUUCAAAAUUAUUAAGUUUACAGGAUAAACAAAGGAUAGUCUUACUACUGUAAGCCAAAUCUACCCUAGUUUUUAUUUUUUAUAUUGCAUACCAGAUAAGGAUUGCGUUAUAUAUAAGUGACUAAAAAACAACUUUAAAAAGUAUUUCAUGGUAUACAAGGAUUUUGUGGAACUCUAAUUUAAGCAUUCAUAAACUUUUUUGUACUAGUUAUUUGUUUAUGUAUUGUGGUUAAUCACUUUUGUCUUGAAAAGUUGGUUUAGGCUAUAUGACCCACAAAACCCAAUACACUUAGUAUGGAAAAAUAUGGUCACUAAAAACUUUGGAGUGAAGUUCAACAGAUAAAGGACCUCAGUACACUUGGAGAUCUUGUUAGAGUUUCAGAUGGUCUGGUCUUUCAGAACUAUUGAAUAACUCAGUGGCUGUUGAAUUGUGGUCUUUGGACAAGUUUUGAUUCAGAAACUCAGAGUGGAAUGUGGGAGUUUGUGGUUUCAUAGGCUGUCUCAUUAGUCUUGAUACAUGUGAAGAUUGAGCCCAAUUGGCCUAGUCCCUGGGAUGUGAACAGGUCAUAUUAUCCAACAUAGAAGAGAGGUGCUCGUGGGCUUCUGCACAGGGAUGAGCUGCAAAACUCAGUAUUUUGCUUACUGGUUUGCAUUAUUUAUAAUAUCUUGGAGACAAGGAAGGCAUGCUCUCCCCCAUUUUAAAGAGAAAGGAACUGGAAUUCAUUCAGGAAAUAUAGCAAUUUGCACGGAAUUAUUGAAUUGGCUUUAAAAAUCAACCCUUCAGGCUUCCCUGCCCUCACUUUCUUAUCUUCUUUGAUUUGGACAAGCAGUCCUGGAAUCAAGCAGGAGCUAGCCUGGCAUAGUUUGUGUUGGGUUUCUCAUGAGGAAUGUAGACACUACACAGGAUAUGAAUAUCAGAGUCUAGUGAUAUAUCUCCAUGGCUAUAUGAAGAUCACCCUGACUAAAUCACCAACCAAAGAGUAUAGGACCCAUGGCUGCAGCUACAUAUGUAGCAGAGGAUGACCUUUUCUGGCAUCAGUGGGAGGGGAGGGAGUUAAUUAGAGAAUCCGAGCAAUGUCUGGCUUGGAACAAAGACUUGCCAGGGGGGAAAGUGAGCAGCGGCUCCUCACUGAAGAACAGAGCCAAGCGGGUGGCCCCCCGGGGUGAGGACAGACCUGGGCUAAAGUCCAGCCUCUCAUGCUGAUGCUUGCAUUUGCUUGGAGGGGCUCAGUUCAGCCAAAGAGCAUCCAGGCUCCAGACCCUGCACUGCAGCCGGCAGGUGGGUGUUCUGAGUUCAGAGCUGAGGGAGAAACAUCUGUUGGAGAACAGAGACUUUGCAGGGUCCACGAAGAAGGGACACUCCCAAGGAACUUGCCCCGGAGAGAUAGCACUCCACCCGCUGAUGAUGCCAGGCUGGGCAGGGCUGUGUGAGCUAGUUUGCUGCCUGGGAAGCUCAAGUG
ensembl:antisense Gm20700 predicted gene 20700